AUGGAUAGAUAGAUAAAUGGACAUCUGGGUGAACAGAGGGCGAGACACACACACUAUAUAUGUACCUAGGAGAUAAUUGGAAAGAUGAAUAGUUAAAUAUUAAGAUAGAAUGUUGUUGUUCAGUUGUUUUUCAGUUGUGUCUGACUAUUCAUGAACCCAUCUGGGGUUUUCUUGGGAAAGAUACUAGAGUACUAGAGUGGUUUGUCAUUUUCUUCUCCAGCUUAUUUGACAGAUAAGGAAACUGAGGUAAAUGGGGUUACAUGACUUGCCCAGAGUUAUACAGCUAGCAAGUGUCCAUGGCUGGAUUUGAACUCAGGUCUUCUUGACCCCUGUCAGGGAGCUCUAGUCACUGGGCCAAUUAGUUGCCAGAUAGAUAGCAUUAAUAUUCUGUGGUGGCAUUGUCAGAAUGAAGAUUAGAUUCCAAAGUAUGAAAAUUAGGAUCACUUGAUCAGAGAUAUAGAGAAGGGACCAUAGCCCAUCUAGUUUAGAAUUUCAGACUGAGAAAACAGAUUAAAGGAAGGUGAUUGUGUGAAGGCUACAUAGGCAAAAUGUUAGAGAUGGAUUUUAAGUCAGGUUCUUUCUCUCUCAAAGCCUGGUGGUUUAGGUUGGUAAAUAAUGACUCGGCAUUGUUGCAGUACACCACAGAUUCAUAGAGGUGGACGGGACCUUCAAUAUCCUCUAGAAUAACCCUUUCAUUUUACAGAUGAGGAAAUUGAGAGUCUAAGGAAGAUGAAAGUGAUUGAAAGAGCCAGAACUGGAACAGAGGUCUUCUCCACUCCCCCAUGGUUUCCAUGAAGUUGGGAGUGGAGGGGCAGAGUGCUUUAGUUGACAAUGGUUUGAAUGAACCUAUCGCUCCAUCUUAUUUAGGAUGGCUAAUGCUGACCAAGAUGGCAGGGGGAAUUGCCUAGAUAGCCGAAGUUUUUGGUGAAUUAAGAGAUCUCUCAGAUCUUGUUAUGAAUCUCUGGUCAUCACCCUGAUUUUACCUAUGAACUCUUCUAGAUAAUCAACUAGUCAACUCAAGUCCUGUUAUCUAGAAAUUAUUCUGUAUGUCCAAAUUGAAUCUGUGAAAGAAUUUUGCUAGUGUUUUGCCUUUUCUGCCCCAGAACAGGAAAUAAUCUGUAUCACAAAGCCUACACAACCAUGGUCCUUUCCCAACUCCAGGACAGAGACUGGUAUACAGAAAGUCAAAGCUGGUGACAGUUCUCCUGAUUUUAAGUGCCAUAGAAGAAAUUCAACUGAAAAAGAAAUUUUCCUAUUCUGAUGCUAGAAUGUACCUCAGCGAUGAUCUACUGGGUUUUUAAACUUUUUAUAUCAUGGACCUUUUUUGAAGUCUGCUGAAACCUAAGAACUGCUCUUUAGAAUAUUGUAUUUAACACAAAAUAAAGUAUAUAAGAUUUGAAGGAAACCAGCUAAAUUGAAAUACAGUUAAUCAAGACAUAAAGGGGAGAAAUAAAGUCCCUGGACCCAAGGUUAAAAAUUGCUACUCUAAAAGAUUUAAUGUGAAAUCAUUUAUUAUUAGAAAUGUUAUUUGUUAUUAUUAGAAUUUUUAUUAUGUAUUACUAUUUUGUUAUUAAUUAUUAUUAUUAAAUAUUUAUUAGAAAUGUUCAUUACAUGCAACAAUUGUUAACUUUGGACAGUGUCCUGUCAUUUUAGUCUAGCAUUUUCCCACUUCUCUGUUAUUCUCUAGCAUUCUGUGCCACCAGAACUCUCAGUUCCAUAUUUACAAGGUUUGCCAGUAUAUUCCCAUCUCCAAAGUGCUUCAUGACCAACUGUAUUUGGCAAGGGCAAAUCUAAUUCAAUACCCUUUUUUUUUUUUUUGCAGAUGAGGCAAUGGAGGCACACCUUGUAUAACAGCAGGAUGAGUGAUAGAAGGUGGUUCUCCUGAUGCCCAGGCUGCUUUUCUUUUUUCUUUUUACUCCAUCCUGCAGUUUCAUAACCAUUGAACAAAAUCUUUGACCCAAUCUUAGAACAUGAAAGGAAGAAGAGAGUCCUUCUAGGAAGCAAUGAUACUGUGGCAGAAGCUUUGGGUGAAGGGUCAAAACAAACCAGGUUCUAGUCCCACUUCUGCCUGCCACAUUCACACAGGCAUGCUAUAUCACCUUGGGAAAUGACCUAUCACUUACAACAACAACAACAACCGGGUAAAAUGCAGUCAACUUUUAGAGAGGGAGAACCUUGUGGAAUCCUCUUUUCUUGCUUAGCUAGCUAACAAAAAUAAUCCUGUUAUCUCAUUCUUAUCAGCUCUAUGGCAUGUCAUUAUGUCAUCUGUCAUCCUCAAAUGAAAGAAAAGGAGUCAGGGCAUAUAUCUUUUCAAUUUUCAGCCAGGUGAUUUAUUUCACUGAAGCUUUGGACACUAGGCACUGACUGGCUUCCUCAUUUCCUUUAUUUUAAACCUUGCUUCCCCCCCCCCCCCCCACGCUAUACAUUACUUCCCUUGCAGUUUUGAAAAGCAGAGGACGAGUGUGAGAAUAUAUGUAUGACAGAGGGAGAGAGAAGGAGAAAAAAGAAAAUAUUGAGGUGGAAAUUUGCACCUGGAUCAUUUAACUUUAUCAUGAUGUACUUUUAAGAAAAAAAAUACAUGUAGAAAGUCAGAAUAUGCCUGUUGCAUUUUCAUAUA